rnacentral:lncRNA from 1 species
UCAUUGAACCCCAUCCCUAUCUCUUCAUCUAUUCUGUGGUUUUAACCUAUUUAUUGUCUUCACAGAAUGAGUUCAAACCUGCGAUCCUCCUGCCUGAGCCUCCUGAGUGGCUAGAAUUACAGACAUGCAACAAAAUCCAUAUUUUAACAAGAUUUCCAGGUGAUUCAUCUGUAAGAUAAAAUUUGUGAAGUGCUGGUCUAAAUGGUAUUUCUGGAUCAAAAAACAUUUACAUUUAAAAUACACUCAAAAAUCUCUCUGUAGAUAAGUGGCACCAAUUCAUAUCCCCAACACAGAUGCUUGAUUCCCCCCUCUCCCACCAAACUUAGAUCUUACCGAUAUUUUUCCUCUUUAGUUAUCUUAUUUUAAUUUACAUUUUUGAUUAUCAGUGAAACUAGACAUCUUUUAACAUGCUAACUGGUUACUUGUUAUGCUUCUUUUUAAAAAAAUAUUUUUAUUAGUUGUUGAUGGCCACCAUUUUACUUGUUUAUUUAUAAUGCAGUGCUGAGAUUCUAACCCAGUGCCUCACACAUGCUAGGAAAGUGCUCUACCACUGAGCCACAACCCCAUGCCCUUUGUUAUGCUUCUUUUCUGAAUUGCUCUUUGCAUGUUUUUCCAUUAAGGUGUUUGUCUUUUUCUUAGAAGUUAUUAGAUCUCUUUGGAUAUUAGGAAUAUAAACCUUUUAGUCAUACAAUAUAUUGCAACUCUAUCAUUUGUUGACUUUAUCCUCAUUCAGCCAUUAUUUUAUAUUUUUAAUUAAUUAAUUAAUUUUGUAGUUGUAGAUGGACAGAAUGCCUUAUUUUGUUAUUUUUAUGUGGUGCUGAGGAUCGAACCCAGUGCCUCACACAUGCUAGGCAAGUUCUCUGCCACUGAGCUACAGCCCCAGCCCUUACAUUUUUAAAAAAUCUAUUUUUUAGUUGUAGGUGGACAUAAAACCUUUAGUUUUUUUUAGUUGUCAAUGGACUUUAUUUAUUUAUAUGUGGUGCUGAGACUUGAACCCAGUGCCUCACACAUACUAGGCAAGUGCUCCACCACUGAGCCACAACCCCAGCCCCCAAUACCUUUAUUUUUAUGUGGUGCUGAGGAUUGAACCCAGUGCCUCGCGCUCACUAGGUGAGCACUCUACCACUAAGCCCACCACCCCAGCCCAAAAUUUUACAUUUUUAUAUAGUAAAAUUUAAAAAUCUCUUCACUUUGAACCCACUCUAAGAUUAAUAAAAUUGUCACAUAUUUCUUAAUGUUUAUGUAUUUAUUUUUAAUUAAAAAUUU